rnacentral:rRNA from 1 species
CCUACGGGUGACAGCAGUGAGGAAUAUUGGUCAAUGGCCGGAAGGCUGAACCAGCCAUGCCGCGUGAAGGUCAGUGCCCUAUGGGCGUUAAACUUCUUUUGUGCGGGAGCAAUAAUGGUCACGUGUGGCCAGACGAGAGUACCGUACGAAUAAGCAUAGGCUAACUCCGUGCCAGCAGCGGCGGUAAUACGGGGGAGGCAAGCGUUAUCCGGAUUAAUGGGGUUUAAAGGGUGCGUAGGCUGUGAGGUAAGUCAGCGGUGAAAUGCCCCCGCUCAACGGGGUGAAGUGCCAUUGAUACUGCCUUGCUGGAAUGCGGAUGCCGUGGGAGGAAUGUGUGGUGUAGCGGUGAAAUGCAUAGAUAUCACACAGAACACCGAUUGCGAAGGCAUCUCACGGAUCCGCGAUUGACGCUGAUGCACGAAAGCGUGGGUAUCAAACAGGAUUAGAUACCCCUGUAGUC